CAGUCGCCGCGGUAAUACGAAGGGGGCUAGCGUUGCUCGGAAUCACUGGGCGUAAAGGGUGCGUAGGCGGGUCUUUAAGUCAGGGGUGAAAUCCUGGGGCUCAACUCCAGAACUGCCUUUGAUACUGAAGAUCUUGAGUUCGGGAGAGGUGAGUGGAACUGCGAGUGUAGAGGUGAAAUUCGUAGAUAUUCGCAAGAACACCAGUGGCGAAGGCGGCUCACUGGCCCGAUACUGACGCUGAGGCACGAAAGCGUGGGGAGCAAACAGGAUUAGAUACCCCCGUAGUCCCUGUCUCUUAUAC
rnacentral:rRNA from 1 species